AUUGAACGCUGGCGGCGUGCUUAACACAUGCAAGUCGAGCGGUAACAGGCGUAGCAAUACGUGCUGACGAGCGGCGAACGGGUGCGUAAUACAUGGGAAUCUGCCCUUUAGUGGGGAAUAACCCGGCGAAAGCCGGGCUAAUGCCGCAUGAGAUCUUCGGAUGAAAGCGGGGGAUCGUAAGACCUCGCGCUGAUGGAUGAGCCCAUGUCGGAUUAGCAGUUGGUGAGGUAACGGCUCACCAAGGCGACGAUCCGUAGCUGGUCUGAGAGGACGGCCAGCCACACUGGGACUGAGACACGGCCCAGACUCCUACGGGAGGCAGCAGUGGGGAAUAUUGGACAAUGGGGAAACCCUGAUCCAGCGACGCCGCGUGUGUGAAGAAGGCCUGCGGGUUGUAGAGCACUUUCGGUGGGAACG
rnacentral:rRNA from 1 species